AGCUCUAAUAGCGUAUAUUAAUGUUGUUGCAGUUAAAAAGCUCGUAGUUGGAUUUUGGUGUUUGACAAAUGGUCUGCCUUCGGGUCUGCACUGUUUGUUGGCACUUCUUUUCUGGGGAACUCACUGCUCUUAAUUGAGGGGUGCUGUAACGCAGAUCGUUUACUUUGAAAAAUUAGAGUGUUCAAAGCAGGCCAACGCAUUGAAUACAUUAGCAUGGAAUAAUGGAAUAGGACUUUGGU
rnacentral:rRNA from 1 species